UACGUAGGCAGCGAGCGUUGUUCGGAGUUACUGGGCGUAAAGAGUGCGUAGGCGGUUGGCUAAGUUUGGUGUGAAAUCUCCCGGCUCAACUGGGAGGGUGCGCCGAAAACUGGCUGGCUGGAGUGUGGGAGAGGCUAGCGGAAUUCCUGGUGUAGCGGUGAAAUGCGUAGAUAUCAGGAGGAACACCGGUGGCGAAGGCGGGAUCCUGGGCCAGUACUGACGCUGAGGCGCGAAAGCUAGGGGAGCAAACGGG
rnacentral:rRNA from 1 species